GGAAUUGCUAGUAAUGGCAGGUCAGCAUACUGCCGUGAAUACGUUCCCGGGCCUUGUACACACCGCCCGUCACACCAUGAGAGUUGGGAAUACCCGAAGCCUGUGAGCUAACUUUAAGAGGCAGCAGUCGAAGGUAGAAUCAAUGAUUGGGUGAAGUCGUAACAAGGUAUC
rnacentral:rRNA from 1 species